rnacentral:rRNA from 1 species
UUGGAGGGCAAGUCUGGUGCCAGCAGCCGCGGUAAUUCCAGCUCCAAUAGCGUAUAUUAAAGUUGUUGCAGUUAAAAAGCUCGUAGUUGAAUUUCGGGAUCAAUGUUUCGGUCAUGCCGUUGGUAUGUACUGAUAUUAUUGAUUUCUCACCUUCUAAAGAACCGUAAUGCCAUUAAUUUGGUGUCACGGGGAAUUAGGACUGUUACCUUGAAAAAAUUAGAGUGUUUAAAGCAGGCUCACGCUUGAAUACAUUAGCAUGGAAUAAUGAAAUAGGACAUCCGAUUCUAUUUUGUUGGUUUCUAGGAUCGAUGUAAUGAUUAAUAGGGAUAGUUGGGGGCAUUAGUAUUCAAUUGUCAGAGGUGAAAUUCUUGGAUUUAUUGAAGACUAACUACUGCGAAAGCAUUUGCCAAGGAUGUUUUCAUUAAUCAAGAACGAAAGUUAGGGGAUCGAAGACGAUCAGAUACCGUCGUAGUCUUAACCAUAAACUAUGCCGACUAGGGAUCGGAUGAUGUUAAUUUUUUAAUGACUCAUUCGGCACCUUACGGGAAAC